rnacentral:rRNA from 1 species
CACGUAGGGUGCGAGCGUUGUCCGGAAUUAUUGGGCGUAAAGAGCUCGUAGGCGGUGUGUCGCGUCGGCCGUGAAAACCUGCAGCUUAACUGUGGGCUUGCAGUGGGUACGGGCAGACUAGAGGUAGGUAGGGGAGAAUGGAAUUCCCGGUGUAGCGGUGAAAUGCGCAGAUAUCGGGAAGAACACCCGUGGCGAAGGCAGCCCCCUGGGUCAAGAUUGACGCUCAUGCACGAAAGCGUGGGGAGCAAACAGG